rnacentral:misc_RNA from 1 species
GAUGAAGAACGUAGCGAAACGCGAUAUGUAAUGUGAAUUGCAGAAUUCAGUGAAUCAUCGAAUCUUUGAACGCACAUGGCGCCUUCCAGUAUCCUGGGAGGCAUGCCUGUCCGAGCGUCGUUUCAACCCUCGAGCCCCCGUGGCCCGGCGUUGGGGAUCUGCCCAGGCAGUCCCCGAAAACCAGUGGCGGACCCGUUACAGGCCCUUCCCUUGCGUAGUAGCAUUCGCCUCGCAUCGGGAGCCGGCGGGCUUCCAGCCUCUAAACCCCCAUCAAGUCCGCCCCGGCGGCACCAAGGUUGACCUCGAAUCAGGUAGGAAUACCCGCUGAACUUAAGCAUAUCAAUAAGCGGAGGA